UAACGGUAUUUGAUCCUGGCUCAAGAAGUCUUAUCAAGGUAACCAAUAUUGGAUCCCCUAAAGUUUGAUCCUGGCUUGGAAGUCGUAACAAGAUAAACCGUUUUGGUUCCCCUUAAAUUUGAUCCCCCCUCCGGGGGAAAGCAAAAAGACCUUCGGGCCUUUUUCCCCUAUGUUUUUUCCGUGGUCUUAACUAGUUGGUGGGGUAAUGGCGCACCAAGGCCUCGAUCCCUAACUGGUCUGAUAGGAUGAUCAGCCACACUGGAACUGACACACGGUCCACACUCCUACGGGAGGCAGCAUUGGGGAAUAUUGCACAAUGCGGGAAACCCUGAUGCAGCCUUGCCGCGUGUGUGAAGAAGGCCUUCAGGUUGUAAAGCACUUUAGGAAAGGAGGAAAGGUCAUUACCUAAUAUCUGCUGACUGUGACGUUACUCACAAAAGAAUCACCGGCUAACUCCGUGCCCGCAACCACGGUAAUACCGAGGGUGCAAGCGUUUUUCGGAAUUACUGGCCCUAAAACGCACUUCAGCGGUUGGAUAAUUUAAAUGUGAAAGCCCCGGGCUCAACCUGGGAAUUGCAUUUAAAACUGUCCAGCUAGAGUCUUGGAGAGGGUGGUAGAAUUCCCGGUGUAGCGCUUAAAUGCGUAAAGAUCUAGAGGAAUACCGGUGGCCAACGCGGCCCCCUGCACAAACACUGACGCUCAAGUGCGAAAGCGUGAGGAGCAAACAGGAUUAGAUUCCCCUGCUCCUCCACCCCAUAAAAAUGUCGAUUUGGAGGCUGUGUCCUUGAUCCCGGCUUCCCGAGCUAACUCGUUAAAUCUGCAUUUAAAACUGUCCAGCUAGAGUCUUGUAGAUAGAAUUCAGGUGUAGCGGUGAAAUGCGUAGAGAUCUGGAGGAAUACCGGUGGCGAAGGCGGCCCCCUGGACAUAGUCUGACGCUCAGGUGCGAAAGCGUGGGGAGCAAACAGGAUUAGAUACCCUGGUANNCACGCCGUAAACGAUGUCGAUUUGGAGGUUGUGUUCUUGAGACGUGGCUUCCGGAGCUAACGCGUUAAAUUGACCGCCUGGGGAGUACGGCCGCAAGGUUAAAACUCAAAUGAAUUGACGGGGGCCCGCACCAGCGGUGGAGCAUGUGGUUUAAUUUGAUGCAACGCGAAGAACCUUACCUGGCCUUGACAUGUCUGGAAUCCUGCAGAGAUGCGGGAGUGCCUUUGGGAAUCUGAACACAGGUGGUGCAUGGCUGUUGUCAGCUCGUGUCGUGAGAUGUUGGGUUAAGUCCCGCAACGAGCGCAACCCCUGUCCUUUGUUGCCAGCACGUAAUGGUGGGAACUCAAGGGAGACUGCCGGUGAUAAACCGGAGGAAGGUGGGGAUGACGUCAAGUCAUCAUGGCCCUUACGGCCAGGGCUACACACGUGCUACAAUGGCGCGUACAAAGGGUUGCCAGCUAGCGAUAGUGAGCGAAUCCCAAAAAGCGCGUUGUUUUUUUAAGAGUUUAAUCCAACUCGAGUAAGUGGAAACAAGGUAACCAGUAAUGGAUCCUUUGGGGUUUGCUCCGGGCCCGGUAAGUGGUAACAAGGUAACCGGUAUUGGAUCCCAUAGAGUUUGAUCCGGCUCAGGAAGUCGUAACAAGGUAACCAGUAUGGUCCUCA
rnacentral:rRNA from 1 species